rnacentral:lncRNA from 1 species
GUUUUUUUAAACAAGCAUUUUUAUUAAUCUUUGAAAAUGUCAUAUAUUCAUACAAAGUAUUUUGAUUACAUUCACCCAUCUUCAAUUUCUUGGAAAUUUUUAUUCUUUCUUACAUUCAUCUAUCUGGUUCUUUAAAAUGUAUGUGUGGGUAUGUAGGGGGAGCCCUGCACAAUCCCCUGCCCGUGCAUGGAGAUCACAGGGCACAACCUGAGGCAGUUGGCUCUUUUAUUCCACCAUGUGGGCUCAGGGAGAUUGAACACAGGUCCUUGGGCUCAGCAGCAAGAGCCCUUACCCCAUCCCCACUCUAUGUGCCAUCUCACUAGCUCCAAUUCUUAAAAACCCAUGAACAACAGGUCCUGUGUUUUCAUUUGUUUCAGGACUCCCAACCCCUGACCUGUGUUUGAAGGUGACCUUCUUACAAGCAGACCACAAUGGAUGGUGUGUGUGUGUGUGUGUGUGUGUGUGUGAUCAGAUUUAAGAAGUAUUCAGAAACUGUCAUUUUCUGAAGACAGGAUAAUUAUUUCAUUUUAUUACUAUGUCCACCAAGGUCCAGAAAGAGGAAAUUAACUUCCCUCAGGGUCAUGGACAAACGCUGAAGCGGAAGCCAAAUUGGAAGUCCAAAGUGAUGAGUCUGCAAAGCAGUCACCACGGAGGCCACCAGUGAGAUGAGUCUGAACGUCCCUGCAUGCCGAUGUGGAGGAAGCAGAUAAAACAAGAAGACUGUGUGGGUGGUAGGAAGUGAGCUUUAAACAAAUCUGGAAAACUGCUGAAGGGGACCUGUUUUAGGAGAAUGAUGGGGAAAAGGGAAACAUUAUAUAUGAACUCUACCCAUUUAUCAGACUUCCAUCUAAUAAUGUCCACAUAAACUGCAAAGGGCGAAGUGAAGUAUCAAAGAGUAUGCAUACCAUGCUGCUCUGGCCUGUCACUUUCCCAGCCUGAACACACUUGCAUGGGUACCCUGAUCAGGAAAGAGCUCAUG